UUUCCGUUCGUCUAACGGCAAGACACCGGGCUCUGAACCCGGCGAUCGUGGUUCGAAUCCACGGCGGAAAG
rnacentral:tRNA from 1 species